rnacentral:rRNA from 1 species
UACGUAGGAGGCGAGCGUUGUCCGGAUUUACUGGGCGUAAAGCGCGCGCAGGCGGCACUUCAAGUAAGGUGUGAAAUCUCCCUGCUCAACGGGGAGGGUGCACUUUAGACUGAGGAGCUAGAGGACGGUAGAGGGGGGUGGAAUUGCUGGUGUAGCGGUGAAAUGCGUAGAUAUCAGGAGGAACACCGGCGGCGAAGGCGGCACUCUGGGCCGGUACUGACGCUGAGGAGCGAAAGCGUGGGGAGCGAACAGG